GGCCAUUUAUAUGGAUACACCUUAAUAAAAUGGGAAUGGUUGGUGAUAUUAACUUCCUGUUUGUGGCACAUUAGUAUAUGUGAGGGGGAAAACUUUUCAAGAUGGGUGGUGACCAUGGUGGCCAUUUUGAAGUUGGCCAUUUUGGAUCCAACUUUUGUUUUUUCAAUAGGAAGAGGGUCAUGUGACACAUCAAACUUAUUGGGAAUUUCACAAGAAAAACAAUGGUGUGCUUGGUUUUAACCGAAUAGAAAUUGUGUUGAUGUCUGGUGAACGCAGUAACCGGGUCAUUGCAGCAGAUUUCAAUGCAAGACACCCUACGUGACCACCCAUCUCCCAUGCUACAGUUAGCAAACUGCUUGCUAAGUUUCGUGAAACUGGUUCAGUGUUGGAUUUGCCAAAAUCUGGACGCAUGAAAACUGUCACUAAUGAAGAAACAUCAGUGGCUGUCCUAGCUUCAUUCAGCAAGAGCCCACAGCGUAGCACUCGCCGCAUGUCACUGCAGAGUGGCAUUAGUCGAACAUCCCUUCGGCGGAUAUUAGCUACUCACAAAUGGCACCCUUAUAAACUCCAGCUACUGCAGCAUCUCAACGAGGAUGACCCAGAUCGGUGCACUGAAUUUGCAGAAUGGGCAAAACAAAAAUUGGAACAGGACCCUCAGUUUUCGCAGAAGAUUUUGUUCAGUGAUGAGGCAAACUUUUAUGUGAAUGGUGAAGUUAACAAACAAAACCACCGCUAUUGGUCUGACACUAACCCACAUUGAAUAGAUCCCUCCAAGACUGUUGGAACAAAAAAAUUGAUGGUAUGGUGUGGUAUAUGGGGUACAAAGAUAGUGGGGCCAUUCUUCAUCAAUGGAAACCUCAAGGCCACUGGAUAUGCGAAAUUGCUACAUGAUGAUGUGUUUCCCUCUUUAUGCACUGAAGCUGGCACGUUCCCUGAGUUUUUCCAGCAAGAUGGUGCACCACCACAUUAUGGGUGUCAAGUCCGAGCAUUCCUAGAUGAACAGUUUCCUGGAAAGUGGAUUGGUCGUCGUGGGCGAGUUGAAUGGUCCCCAAGGUCUCCCGAUCUGACCCCCUUAGACUUUUAUCUUUGGGGUCAUCUGAAGGCAAUUGUCUAUGCUGUGAAGAUACGAGAUGUGCAGCACCUGAAACUACGGAUACUGGAAGCCUGUACUAGCAUUUCUCCAGCGGUGUUGCUAUCAGUGUGUGAAGAGUGGGAGAAGAGGGUUGCAUUGACAAUCCAACACAAUGGGCAGCACAUUGAACACAUUUUAUAAGUGGUCAGAAACUUGUAAAUAACUCAUGAAAGAAUAAAGUUACGUUAAAACCAAG